GGGGAAGAGAGAUAGUUCGUUGCUCCUUGUCUUUCCUACCGUUUAGCAGUAGUUUUAUGGCAUUUCAAUUGAAAAAUGUCCUGAGUGUGUUGCUAAGACCUGUGUGUGUCUAUAAGAGGAGAACACCAGUGCAGGAAUUUGGAGUGGGGGAAACUUUCUGGGGGCACCACCAAGAGGCUCCCCCUGCUGUGGCAGCUGUCCAACUGAUCUGAGGGCAUGCCAGCUCAUUAAAAGCCUUUGUUGGUUAUUCUGGUUGUAUGGUUGAUGAUGUGAUGAAUGAACCAUGACAGGUGUGGAAGAUGCAUAAGUGAUUCUCUAGGGUCUUCCUCAACAUAUUAAUCAACAAAAAGUUUUUGCCUGCUGCCUUGUAUUUGAUUGGCUGUAAAACGAGACCUGAAAGUACAAUUCACACGCAUCCUUUUUGUGUUUUGGAUAAGGCAUGGUGUUCUUGCAUGAGGUCAGUGAUAAAGAAUGUGGUCUGUCCCUUCCGCUGUUGCCCUGAAACCAGCCAGAUAACCUGCCCAUUACAAGAACAGCAUGUCAACACAUUGUGUGGAAUGUGGGAGGGAUGUUUGCUGAAGCGAAGACGGAUCCCACCAUCAGCGUCCAACUACUCCUUUUAACCCUUCAACAAGUUCACAGCUUUAUACGAAUGCUUUACCAUGCAAUGCAGAGCACAACACAUCAUAACAUUACUUUAUUGGACAUACUUUCCAUCCUUGUUCUGGUCUUGUUAACCAUGCAGGUGUUUUUUUAAUUUUAUUUUAUGCUGCUGACACAGUGCUUUGCGAGCUGUUUGAAGCAACCAAUCAAGGGCUUGUUUUGCUUUUAUUGCCUUCCAGCAUCACAACGUGUCUUCAGUUAACAACAGUGUUAAAUAUGUUUGCUGCUCACAAAAAAAAUCAGCAAUUUAUCAUCGUGGUGACUAGGGAUGGGAAUUGAUAGGAUUUUUACGAUUCUGAUUCCAUUAUCGAUAUUGCUUAACGAUUCGAUUCUUUAUCGAUUCUCUUAUCGAUUCUAAUUUGGGGGAAAAGAAGAACAAACGUUUUGAUUGGCAUCGAGUUUGUUUAAUCAGAAGUCACAACCUUACAAACUCACAACGAGAUCAAAAGAGGCCCAAAGCCUCAAUGUUAACUGUGGCAAUAAGUGGCAAAUACACAAGAAUGUGUAACAUUUUACUGAAACAUUUAUCUAAUAGAAAUAAAAAAUAUUGGUAUAUAUUGUCAGAUAGGUUGUUGUUCUGCCUUUGGCAAUAUGUGUUAAAGCAGGGGGCCCCAAACUUUUUCCUGUGAGGGCCACAUAACUUUUCCCUUCUCUGAUGAGGGGCCAGGGUCAGUUUGUAACAGAAAAAGUGUGACGAUUGCAGAAGUGCAUAAAUGUAAAAAAAAUAUUGUUUUUCAGAAAGCCACAAUCAAAUAACCCUUUCUGGAUUCUUCACGGAAUGAAAGUAAAUUAAAAAAAAAAAAAAAAAUGAUAUAAUAAUAAGAAAAAUAAUAAUUAAUAAUAAAAACACUAUUAAUUAAAUAGAUAAUAACCAAAUAACCCUCUCUGAAUUCUUCAAGGAAAAGGCCGGGAAAUAAAUAACACGAUUGAGAAAAAAAAAAAUUUCAAAAUGGCCGGACCAAAUGUGGAGGCGGGCCGUAUUUGGGCCGCAGGCCGCAGUUUGGGGACUGAUGAGUUAACGUGUAUUAUUUACCAUUUCAUUGAAAUGCAUGCGUUUUAGUUUUUGUGGCGCUUACAUGCUCAAGUGGGGGCGCCCUUGCGCUUCCUCACGCGAAGAAGAACACGCUCACGUGAAGAAGAGCGCGCUUACACCCAAGAAGAAAUGCCGCAUCCAAGCGAAUGAGCGAGUUAGUGAGAGAGGGAAACACUUCUACGAGCCUACGCUCUUUGUUAAUGUUAAUAUCUACAGAGGCAACGCCUGUAUGUAUCAUCUUUUGUGUUGUUGUUGUGUUUCCACUCGCGAUCGGACAAAUCCAGUUGUGUAGUGGUUUGAACGAUGUGCUAAUACUAGCGAACGAAUGCUAACCAUUUGUUAUUACUGUUAUUAGCAGCUAAUCAUCGCUGAUUUACGUUGAUGCAAACCUGUUUGUUAUUGGGGACGAAAUUGAUUUGUUUCAUUUCUAUUCUUCGUUUCACUCAUCAAGUGAUGGUUUAAUAAAGUCAGCAAAUUAUACCAACGUCUUCUGCAUCUUCAUUUGGGAGUUUAGCUAGCUGUAUAGCCAGGACUGAGCCUUAGCCUCCCUGUGAGGACAGCGCAGUCGUAUUCCCUCCCGAUGCAGUUAUCUCCACCUUGCAAUGACUGCAAGUCGCUUUGUUGUAAUUUUUCCUCGUGAAGUGAAGACACACUUUCGAGCGUUUGAACCUACGUGCUGUCAUUGUUAUGUUUAUGGCUGCAAUGCUCGUGCUUACCCGUCGUAACCUUUCAUUUUCACACUCUUUCCUGGUGAAGUGUAGUCAAACUUUGGAGCGAGUGGUUCUUGGCGCCAUGCUAGUUUGAUGCGUCUGGACAACAAGACACGUCACGACGCAAUACGCGUCUUUAGGAAUCGUUAAAGGGAUCGUUAAGGCUUUUUCAUUGUGAUGUCGAGGCCUCGAAACACUCGGAACCGGUUCCGAAUUGGAAUCGGAUUUCGAUUCCCAUCCCUAGUGGUGACAAUUCAGACCCACCCGCAUCAUUAAUAAAUCCUUAAUAGGGUAUCUUUCAUAUUGUUUCACAUGUCCUGGUCAAUUUAAACAUUUAAAAAGUUUGCAAAACUCAUGUCUUCAACCAUAUUGUAAACCCAUUUAAUUCAAAAGAACAGUUGCGAGCAUGAAAUAUUUUUAAGACACCAUGCCUUUAAGGGGCGGGGCCUGAUAGAAUGUUGUGUGACAUUGGGCGAGAGCUGUGGCUGACAGCAGCUUCAGUGCACUACAAUAAAUAAAACUGUAAACUCAUUUAAAUAAAAUACUUAAAUGUGUAGUCUUGUGGUUAAACACUGCGCUGUUGUAUCAAAGUUCAUACAAUGCAAACUGACCUCAAGCAUCCCCACUUCUGCAAAAGCCUUUGCCAAGGAGGAAGUGGGAGCGUUGCCUUCCCGAGUGAUGCGGGCAGAGAGUGGGAAGCAGUGCUCGUCGUACCUCCAGACUUUACCCACAAUUCCCCGGUGCGAGCUGAAGCGGCAGAAAGAGAGGAAGCAUGACCUGAGCUUGAUAACAGCGGGGGCGGCUAUUUCUGUCAAACAGCAAGCGCGGCCUAGACAAGAGGUGUCUGUUGUAUUUCCUGUUGCUUGUUCAGUCAGAAUGCGAAUUAAACUUGAAUUCAAAAGCCCCACUGUGUAGUAUCUGUGUUUCUUAACUUUCCAUGCAUAC